rnacentral:rRNA from 1 species
UACGAAGGGGGCUAGCGUUGUUCGGAAUUACUGGGCGUAAAGCGCACGUAGGCGGAUAUUUAAGUCAGGGGUGAAAUCCCGGGGCUCAACCCCGGAACUGCCUUUGAUACUGGGUAUCUCGAGUCCGAGAGAGGUGAGUGGAAUUCCGAGUGUAGAGGUGAAAUUCGUAGAUAUUCGGAGGAACACCAGUGGCGAAGGCGGCUCACUGGCUCGGUACUGACGCUGAGGUGCGAAAGCGUGGGGAGCAACAGG